ensembl:lncRNA
AUGAGUGAUUCAGAGCAGCCAGAAGAGGCUGAAAAUGUGUCUCAGCCUCAGUGGCCUGAGAACGGAGAGGAAUGGAGUGAUGGAGAGGACGGCACGACCAUGGACUGUGGGCUUCUGCAGGCCAUGGCCGAGGAAGAUGAUGAGAUUGACGUCUACAAUGAGGAGACGUUUGGAAUGGAACUUGACGCACGAGGGACCACCGAGGACCCCGGCAGCGAACUCCUACAGUUUGAAGAACAACCUCCUUCACCGCCACCGCCUCCAUGCACACCUCCACCAGCCCCCAAACCAUUACACCGCCACUGCUCCCCCUCCCCCCUCAGACAGAGCCCACAGUAUGUGCCCUGGGCUCCCCCGGGGCAGCGUGGCAGAGGAUGGGGGCAGAGAGGGGGGCCCGGCAGGGGCCAUUUGUUUGAAGACCCAGCUGUGAUGAGGAUAGUGGAGGGCCGACCGAGUCUGAAGACUCUUGACAGUGCCAUAGUGGACCUUGGGAACACCAUGUACCGGAAGACCUUGGAGGAAGACGUAAGCGUCGCUUGGUCACGCUUUGCUGAUGCUGCUAAAAGUUCCCUCUUGUUGUUUGACGUGUAUUUUCUUCCCUUCAGUACAUGUCGCCCUCUUUCAGAAAGGCCAGAAGAAUCUCAGGAUCAAUACUUCAGGUCAAGAUCCUCCUCUUCUAAAAGCACCUGUUGUAAUCUGCAUGACGUGGGACUAAAACAUGCAGCUCUGUUAUUUUAUUCUGUUCCAUAGGACAGUGCUGUAGUGUGUGUGAUUGAUGGUCACAGAGGCCGAAGUCAACAGCUGACCUCCAACUUCCCGGAUUUCCCAUAUCCUGUCUCUUCCUUCAGGGGCAGGAGAGAGGAACCCAGAGGAUCCUAUGCCAGAAGACAGUUUGGCGAAAGAUUCCCCGCUCAGGUGGAGGAUUAAUUUGAUAGUACUGUGACACUUUUUGUUGUUGUUGUUGUAAGCAUUCCUUCAUUAAAUUUGAGUUUUUUCUUGCAGAUGCAUGCAUCCAUGGCACCGGGAUCCCCAAUCUUCUCACGUCAACCACUAACCCCGCGGCAACAUUACAAUCAGGUUCAUGUCAUUAUUAACUUAAUCUGGCACAAAAAACGGCAACUCUGUUCAUAAAAAGGUGAUAACGUGACUGGUGACGUAGUUCUGUGCGCAGACCGGGGGCUUCAUGUUCCCGGCGAACCGGCCGUGUCCCUCCACUCCCCAGUCGCUGACUCCCAAGAUGAUGCAACUUCGCUUUGGCGCCAACUCGCCGAGGCCGUCUCCCUUUUACAGCCCCUCGUCCAAUCCGAUGCAGCACUUCAGGUGUGGCCUGAGGAGUUUGUUUUGUGGCCUGAAAUAGUCGCCGGUGAAGUUAAAGUGGUUCACUCUCGUUAUCGCGGCUGAAUUUUAAAAUGCGCAAAUCUGGGCGGGCGUUGAAAAACCGUAUUUUUCCAUAAAGACAAAUGCGUGCUUUUUCUCUAGAAAUGUUUGUCUGACCCACAGGAACCCCGGUCCUGUCACCCAGCUCCACCCCCAACAUAAACGACUUCUUAAUCAAAAACAACACAUAUUCCAAAGGUUGGUGGUUCCUCUUAGAUGCAUUUU